UUUUUUUUUAUUUAUUUAUUUUAUUUUUUGUUUUUAUAUAUAUAUUUUAUUAUUAUUUUAUUUUCUACUGCUGUACCCUUUGAGUAUUUGUAUUUAUUUAUUCUCGGCACUGUUGUUGUUGUUGUUGUUGUUGUUUUUUUUUCUGUUUUUUUUUUUUUGUUUUUUUUCCCUUAAUGCAUGAAUAUGUAACUAUAUUUUAUUCAGAGAGAAAGAAAACGUGAGCAAAAUUGUAUUCUACCACCACAUUGGAUCAGUUGAUGUCUAAUGAUUCUGUGUAUCUGAUGCUGUGGCUCUCUGACUAACAUAUUUCAAUAAAAACAGAGUUAAACUAAAA
rnacentral:lncRNA from 1 species